rnacentral:tRNA from 1 species
GUGGUUGUGGCUCAGUGGUAGAGUGAUUGCCUAGUACAUAUGAGGCACUGAGUUUGAUCCUCAGCACCACA